ensembl:lncRNA
UACACAUGGUUAAAAGUGAAUGAAAGUGGUGUCAGUGCAGCAAGGUUAGACAGGUUGUAUGUAUCUGAUCACUACUGUAGUAGGGUUGGAAGGUUAGACAGGUUGUAUGUAUCUGAUCACUACUGUAGUAGGGUUGGAAGGUUAGACAGGUUGUAUGUAUCUGAUCACUACUGUAGUAGGGUUAGAAGGUUAGACAGGUUGUAUGUAUCUGAUCACUACUGUAGUAGGGUUGGAAGGUUAGACAGGUUGUAUGUAUCUGAUCACUACUGUAGUAGGGUUGGAAGGUUAGACAGGUUGUAUGUAUCUGAUCACUACUGUAGUAGGGUUGGAAAGUUAGACAGGUUGUAUGUAUUUAAUCACUACUGUAGUAGGGUUGAGAAGGUUAGACAGGUUGUAUGUAUCUGAUCGCUACUGUAGUAGGGUUGGAAGGUUAGACAGGUUGUAUGUAUCUGAU